UACGUAGGGUGCAAGCGUUAAUCGGAAUUACUGGGCGUAAAGGGCGCGUAGGCGGCGUGGUAAGUCACUUGUGAAAUCUCUGAGCUUAACUCAGAACGGUCAAGUGAUACUGCUGUGCUAGAGUGCGGAAGGGGCAAUCGGAAUUCUUGGUGUAGCGGUGAAAUGCGUAGAUAUCAAGAGGAACACCUGAGGUGAAGACGGGUUGCUGGGCCGACACUGACGCUGAUGCGCGAAAGCCAGGGGAGCAAACGGGAU
rnacentral:rRNA from 1 species